rnacentral:rRNA from 1 species
CGUCCAUUAAGCCUACACUUUUGCUCUUGACCUCGGAUCAGGUAGGA